CCUACGGGUGACAGCAGUGAGGAAUAUUGGUCAAUGGACGAGAGUCUGAACCAGCCAAGUAGCGUGAAGGAUGACUGCCCUAUGGGUUGUAAACUUCUUUUAUAUGGGAAUAAAAUGUUCCACGUGUGGGAUUUUGUAUGUACCAUAUGAAUAAGGAUCGGCUAACUCCGUGCCAGCAGCCGCGGUAAUACGGAGGAUCCGAGCGUUAUCCGGAUUUAUUGGGUUUAAAGGGAGCGUAGGUGGAUUGUUAAGUCAGUUGUGAAAGUUUGCGGCUCAACCGUAAAAUUGCAGUUGAAACUGGCAGUCUUGAGUACAGUAGAGGUGAGCGGAAUGCGUGGUGUAGCGGUGAAAUGCUUAGAUAUCACGAAGAACUCCGAUUGCGAAGGCAGUUCACUGGACUGCAACUGACACUGAGGCUCGAAAGUGUGGGUAUCAAACAGGAUUAGAUACCCCUGUAGUC
rnacentral:rRNA from 1 species